GCAGAGAAUACCACUCGUACCUUUUGCAUCAUGAUUCAGCCAGUAAAAACAUGCGAAGAGACCUCUAGUUUGUAACCCCGAAAUCCGACGAGCUACUCCGGGACAGCCUAUCUAGGGCCAACCCGUCUCUGUGGCAAAAGAGUGGGAAGAUCCCCGAGUAGAGGCAAAAGACCUACCGAGUCCGAUUAUAGCUGGUUGCCCAAUAAAUGAAUAUAAGUUCAGCCCCGCAAAGCCCCAUUCACACUAGUCCUACUACAAAAGAUGAAGAGCCAUUAACGGGAGUUAGUCAGAAGAGGUACAGCUCUUCUGACAAAGGACACAACCUUGAGAGAAGAUUAAGGAAUAAAAUUAAACAAGGCCACAAAUCUCAGUGGGCCUGAAAGCAGCCACCUGAAUAGAAAGCGUUAAAGCUCAGACUAACCCCACGCCCCUUAUCAGAUUAAAUAAUCCAAAAUCUCUAUAACCACUGGGCCUCUCUAUGCACCCAUAGAAGAGAUCAUGCUGAAACGAGUAACAAGAAGAUCGAGCUUCUCCCAGCACAAAUGUAAGUCGGAUCGGACCCCCCACCGACAAUUAACGAACCCAAAAACAGAGGGCACCGCACCAUCACCACUCCUGGUCAAGAAAACCACGUCCCAUUAAUCGUUACCCCCACACAGGAGUGCUAGACCAAGGAAAGACUAAAAGAAAAAAAAGGAACUCGGCAAACCAAAACCCCGCCUGUUUACCAAAAACAUCGCCUCUUGCCACUACUAGCAUAAGAG
rnacentral:rRNA from 1 species